UACAGAGGUCUCAAGCGUUGUUCGGAUUCAUUGGGCGUAAAGGGUGCGUAGGCGGCGCGGUAAGUCGGGUGUGAAAUCUCGGAGCUUAACUCCGAAACUGCAUUCGAUACUGCCGUGAUUGAGGACUGGAGAGGAGACUGGAAUUUACGGUGUAGCGGUGAAAUUCGUAGAUAUUCGCAAGAACACCAGUGGCGAAGGCGGCUCACUGGCCCGGUACUGACACUGAGGUGCGAAAGCGUGGGGAGCAAACAGGG
rnacentral:rRNA from 1 species